CGUCCUCUGUCCGAGCGCAGAACCUAGCCUCCGUCUUCCGUCCUCCUUCCUUCGUCGCUGUGUAUCUGUCACCAUCGCCGUGAGUCCAUCGCCGUACCCUUCGUCCGAGAGCAGCUGAGCAGAAUUUUGCCAACGUCAUCCUCCGUCCAAGCGCAGAACUUACCCGACGUCCUCUGUCCUCCGUCCUCCGUCCUUCGUCGCCAUGAGUCUGUCGCCGUUGCCUUGUUUUGGAGAAUGAGCUGUAUUCCUUUUCAAAGAAACAAAGUAGUUUUUGAAGAGUCAAUGAAGUUUGUUUCUACUGGAAGUUACUAUUUGGAAGUUACUAUUUGCAUCGGAAUCGACCCUCGUCCAGUCGUCCGCGCCUCUCCUGGUCCCGAAACGCACCACCUCCACCAGAUUCUCCCCGCAUAGCAUCAGUUUAAAUCUUGAUUUGCAAACUUUUAAUGAUGAUGAAGAUAUUGAAAGUGAUCAAGAAUAAGGGUUGAAAAUCAUUUUAUAUCUAAUAUUGUAAUUUCUUUAUUAUGGUGUUAAAUUUGUAGUGAUCUAACAAUAU